rnacentral:misc_RNA from 3 species
AACGCACAUUGCGCCCUUUGGUAUUCCGAAGGGCAUGCCUGUUCGAGCGUCAUUAUCACCCCUCAAGCCCUCGGCUUGGUGUUGGACGGUUUGGUGGAGGCCCCCUCGGGGGCUCCUGCCCCUCCCAAAGACAAUGACGGCGGCCUCGUUGGACCCCCGGUACACUGAGUUCUUCACGGGACACGUAUCGGACACAUGGGUUUACGGGACACGGUCUGCCUCCCCUCAGGGAGAAUCUUUCUAAGGUUGACCUCGGAUCAGGUAGGGAUACCCGCUGAACUUAA